UUUAUGGAGAGUUUGAUCCUGGCUCAGGAUGAACGCUGGCGGCGUGCCUAAUACAUGCAAGUCGAGCGAACGGACGAGAAGCUUGCUUCUCUGAUGUUAGCGGCGGACGGGUGAGUAACACGUGGAUAACCUACCUAUAAGAUUGGGAUAACUUCGGGAAACCGGAGCUAAUACCGGAUAAUAUUUUGAACCGCAUGGUUCAAAAGUGAAAGACGGUCUUGCUGUCACUUAUAGAUGGAUCCGCGCUGCAUUAGCUAGUUGGUAAGGUAACGGCUUACCAAGGCAACGAUGCAUAGCCGACCUGAGAGGGUGAUCGGCCACACUGGAACUGAGACACGGUCCAGACUCCUACGGGAGGCAGCAGUAGGGAAUCUUCCGCAAUGGGCGAAAGCCUGACGGAGCAACGCCGCGUGAGUGAUGAAGGUCUUCGGAUCGUAAAACUCUGUUAUUAGGGAAGAACAUAUGUGUAAGUAACUGUGCACAUCUUGAC
rnacentral:rRNA from 1 species